AAUACUAAUACUAAUAAUAAUAAUAAUAUUAUUAUUAUUAUGGCGCCGCUUGCCUUAUUUGCUUGUUUUGGCGUAUAUGCGUAUGAACGAGUUGUGAUCGUUUGCAAGCGGUGAACUGCUUCGUUGAAGAUGCCCAGCCGAGUCCCAGCGGGGGUGAAUGUCUUCUGAGCGGGGACUGAAAACAGAUAUGAAACCACGUUGGUUUCAAGCCUCAAGCGCAGCCCAGCGAAUGGAUCAGCGCAUAGGCGGAGCAGUAGUUGUCCAAGAGGUCUGCUCCAGCGGCGUCAAUUUUCUUAACGGAGCUGUGAAGUGCUUGAUGGCGUCUAUCCCUGUGCGCGAGCGAGGCAGAGAAGCCCUCCAAAAUGAACGGCAUUGGCAAGCGGAGCGGCAAGGAAUUUGGCCAGCGACGGACAGAUAUAUAUCCUCUCCGAGCGGCGGUUGAAAAUCCACUGAACCGGCUGCAGUCCACACCUGCAGCACCGGUUUCGGCAUCCUCAUUGAAAGACGUCUGUAAGACGCGGCGGUGAAGCCAACGGUGUUUACCCAGAGUAACUAAAAUCUGUAUACUACUGAUUCGGAGCAGCGACUACUCCCGAUGAAGAUGCCCAAAUUCCACUACUGACACGAUGGGACGUCUCUUGUGCGGAGCAAGUGACGAAUUCUUCAAGAUAUCAAGAUCCCUUCAGAUCAAGAUCUCCUCCCCUGCGCGCUAAGAAAUUUCUGAAAUUCUUAAGUGCUCAAAACAGCGAGAACUGCAAGCGAUCAACAUCUAUCUCUAUUGGCGAAGCGGUGUCAUGCAAUCCGAAGCCAAAGAAAAAACAAUCCUUCUACAUUUGGCGAAUCCAUUCAUCCCGAAAUUUGAAAUAGAAUCAAAGCUGAAGGUCUGACUUUGUGAACCAAUGGCUGAUCCGCUCGCAAGCGGUAAUCCCAAGCGCAGAUAGCGCUGAUCAACACAGAUAUUCUAAGCAGAGCAGUGAAGCUGUUGUCUUUCUCCUGUAAGCGGUGGAGCUACGUUUGAAGCGAGCCGACUGGUCUGCCUAAACCUAACUGCUCAAAAUUUUCUCAGCGCCCUCUUUGAGCGGUGACGAAAGUGAGCGGAAACAUUCAGCCUAGCGAUGCCUUUGAGAGUGGCGGCGAUGAAUACCUCGAGGAUCUAUCUAUGUGUGAGCGAAGCGAAGAAGCCCUCCGAAAGUGAGAGGCGGCCCGCCCUAAGCAGCGGUAACGGAUCAGCGGGAAAUUGUUUUAAGGAGAUCGAAGCAAAGCGACGCCCAGCUGCAAGCGAAUCGGCCGAUGGGCAAACAAGCGAAGCCGUGACUUUCCUGCAAGAACAAGUGAACCGGCUGGUUAAGUAACUAUGGACUACGAUGAAGCCAACCGACACCACUUGCUCCAAUUCCAGCUGCCUACGAAUCCACAGGUAAGCAUGGAAGAAUGGUUGUAUUACUCCAAUUCACCUUCUCUCCCCUAUUUUCAUCUAAUUUUUUCAAUUUGGAGCAUAAUAUUAAUAUUCUGAAAAUUUGCAAGAAAUGCACUGGAUUGGAUUAUGGUUUCCCCAUUAACUAUGCCAAUAAGUGUUCCAUGAAAAAUUUGAAUGAAAUUAUAUUAGCUAUCGAUUGUUCGAUUUGUUUCAAAUAGGGAUUAGGGGAUUAUGAUCAAUUAAUUGCUGCCCGUAAGCUACUUUCUGUUGGAAUCCUAAUUGGUGAUUGUGCUUGUAUUACCUCAUGCCGAGCAUCAUGUAAAUUUAUUAGCUUAAUAGGUUCUAAAUGAAUUGGUUGUUUCACUCAAAGUUUGAUUAGGA